GCUCACCGGCGCACCCCCCCUAGCCUUCUCACCUGYCCGCCYCYACAGYCCGAUAACACAGCUGUCGUCAAUGGACAAAUGCUGUAGCAAGGAUCAUGUUGGGGAAAAGUCUAGUGACUUUAGUCUUUCUAAUUUGUUGCGUCGUUGGAACCGAGAACAAUGAAGAUCUUUUCAAUGGACAAACAUCUAAACUCUYCAGCUACRYGGUUGUAAAGCCUCAGCUUAUUCACAGGAGAUGGGCAAGAAAUGCCCACAGACUUCCUGAAUCGGGAAAGACUGAAGAACCCGAGGAACGUUCUUAUUCGUUGAUCAUGACAACAAGGAACAUUUCCUCCUCUUAAAAAGAACAAGAGUUUUUAUCCAAAAGCUUUGUUCAGUUUUCCCAUGAUGCCAGUGGGAAUCUGACGCCUACAUAUCCUAAACCUGAUGUCCAUUGUUAUUACCAUGGUGAUGUGGAGGAUCAUGAAGAAAUCUUGGUCGCC